rnacentral:tRNA from 2 species
GGGCUAUAGCUCAGCUGGGAGAGCGAUUGGUUCGCAAUCAAUAGGUCAGGGGUUCGAUCCCCCUUAGCUCC